UAAUUAUACCAUUAGUAUACUUGGUACAGACACAGCAUCACAACAUUUACUCACUAAAGCCCAUAAGUCAAUGGCAGCUAUGCUUUAUAAGCUUGGAAGACCAGAUCUUUCAGCUGAUUCUGUCCAACAGUUGAUUGUCAAGAAGAAUGGGAGUGGUAUCCAUGACAAUCAGUUGCAGACAGAAUUACGGAAUUAUCUUCAGAAAUCUAGUAACAAACAAGUUUUGCAUCCAUUGAUUCGCCCACCACCAAAAUGGAUAGGUUACUAUGACUUUGAGAAAUUGUGUCGGGC